rnacentral:rRNA from 1 species
CGACCGCUGGCGGCGUGCUUAACACAUGCCAGUCGCACGGAAAGGCCCUGCUUUUGUGGGGUGCUCGAGUGGCGAACGGGUGAGUAACACGUGAGUAACCUGCCCUUGACUUUGGGAUAACUUCAGGAAACUGGGGCUAAUACCGGAUAGGAGCUCCUGCUGCAUGGUGGGGGUUGGAAAGUUUCGGCGGUUGGGGAUGGACUCGCGGCUUAUCAGCUUGUUGGUGGGGUAGUGGCUUACCAAGGCUUUGACGGGUAGCCGGCCUGAGAGGGUGACCGGCCACAUUGGGACUGAGAUACGGCCCAGACUCCUACGGGAGGCAGCAGUGGGGAAUAUUGCACAAUGGGCGGAAGCCUGAUGCAGCAACGCCGCGUGCGGGAUGACGGCCUUCGGGUUGUAAACCGCUUUCGCCUGUGACGAAGCGUGAGUGACGGUAAUGGGUAAAGAAGCACCGGCUAACUACGUG